GAGAGAGAGAGAGAGAGAGAGAGAGAGAGAGAGAGAGAGAGAGAGGCCUGGGAGACAUGAGAGGAUACCGAGUGAUGGGGGAAGGAGUGAGAGAGCGGCGGGACUAGAGAUUUCGAAACGGACGGGAAAGAAAUUUGAAAAGGCGAAUGAGGAGUUGAGAAGUGAUCGAGAAAAAAAAAAAAAGCUCCUUUUUGGAAUAAUUUUGUUUUACUUCGGUUUGGAAAAAAGAAAAUAAAAAUAAGAAGCUCCAGUUAGGUGUUUCGCCCAAAAGACCAUUUGAUGGUCUUGUCGCAUGCGAAACCGUCCGAUUCACUGAGCCAUGUGAAGAUUCGCGCGUGGCCGAGGGAUCCCGGUUGUAUCCUUCGCACACGUUCCGUCGUACCGUCCGGCCCGUCCCCAUUUCACUUUAAGAUCUGUGCAGCAGUUCGGAAUGCUUCGAGAUCUGCGCAGUGAUGAUCCAACGUCGACGGGCGCGGCAGAUUGGCGUUGCAUUGGCAAAUUAGUUUGGUCAGAACUUGGAAAAAACGUUGCCAAAUAUUCUUAGAGCCUUCCACCAGCAACGCAGUAAGAAAAUUCCAAACAAUUUUAAUAUGAAUCCUGUCUCAAAGUUUUUAGCUGAAUUGCUUCAAAAAUUAUUACAAGUCCUAAAGCAACUUCUUCUUCUUCUUCUUCUUCUUCUUCUUCUUCUUCUCUCUCUCUCUCUCUCUCUCUCUCUCUCUCUCUCU
rnacentral:lncRNA from 1 species